rnacentral:tRNA from 1 species
UCGGGAUAGCUCAGUUGGUAGAGCANAGGACUGAAAAUCCUCGUGUCACCA